GGACUACUGGGGUAUCUAAUCCUUAUUGUUACCCAAGCCUUCGUCCCUCAACGUCAGUUUUUAGUUAGAAGGUUGCUUUCGCUUUUAUCAGUCCCUAUGGUAUUACGAAAUUUCAUCUCUACUCCAUUAGUUCUUUCCUCCUUGAAUAAAACUCUAGUUAACUUAUACUUGCUUUUUAGUUAAGCUAACCGUCUAGGUACCCUUUAAACCUAAUAAAGAUGAAUAACACUAGUCUUCCUCGUAUUACCGCGGCUGCUGGCAC
rnacentral:rRNA from 1 species